rnacentral:lncRNA from 1 species
CCAGGACCGCUGGGUGCCAUCUCGGAUUUUUGUCUUGAGUUUAAGCCAUCACUGCAUUGCCUUAUUGGCUCAUCCUUAUCCAUCCCCUAUGCCUGGGGGACAAAACCUCUCUGUUAAGAACAGACAAGCCCAUGUCUACAUCAACACAAACACCCUAGUCAACCAGGAUGGAUGCCCAUCUCCAGAACUUGGCAAACAACAGAAUAACUGUGCGCCUCAGCGGCUGCCAUGCUCUGGCAGGGUACACAGAUUGUGUGCGCCAAGGGUGCUGCUGACACUGGCUUCUUGUGUUCCCAUGAGCAGGUCUUCCCAUGUGUUCUCCCGAGGAGAGGAUAUGGAAAUUGGAACUGUAGAUCUGAGUACUGGCCACCUCGAUGGGAUCAAAUGCCACCUAAAGACCCAGAGUCUCCAAAGUCUAAGUAAAGAACUGGCCAAGGAAGGCCAAACCAGACAACCCAAAGGAUCCCCUUUGCCAGAAUCUUGGACCACAAGGUGAGCGUUUGUUUCUAGCAGGUAAAUCUGACACGUCUCCUCCAGCCUCAGCCCAGGUAUUAGGAUGUAGGAGUGCCUCCGGGUUGGCGGGGGGGGGGGGGGGGGGGGGUAGUUCAGAGCAGACCCCAAAGUGUGCGCUGUCCCUCCUCCCUCUCCACGCGCGGUCCCCCAUGGUGCUUCAGCCAUGGUUAGAUCCCAGGGGUAAUUCUGAAUCUCGGGGGUCCUGCCCAGCUGUGUGAAACCAACGGAGCGCAUUUGGAUUCUUGCUUAUAAUUUCCACCCGUGGCACUAGUGGUGAAGAACCUGCCUGCCAAUGCAGAAGAUGGGUUCGAUCUCUGGGUUGGGAAGAUCCCCUGGAGAAGGGCAUGGCAACCCACUCCAGUAUUCUUGCCUGGAGAAUUCCAUGGGCAGAAGAGCCUGGCAGGCUACCAUCCAUGGGGUCGCGAAGAAUCUGACACGACUGAGCAACUAACACUACUGCUGCUGCUGAAGCAUCUCUGCAGGUGACUUCAAGGCCGGCUUUGAAGUCAGUCUCCACAGCACAGAAGGAUUCUUUCUGCACCUGUUUUCUUCGGGGUGAACUUACAAACUGAUAAGGGCGGUUGACGAUUCAACACAAUGAACUGGCUGCUGCUUAGAGCUUUGAUUGGCUCUGACAAAGGCUCCUUGAGCUUGGUUGAAAACAAGAUUGGAUUUGUCUUUGUUGGUCUCGGCCUUUUCUGCUGGAGACCUUCACUUUAGUCUUGAGAAGCUGGAGGAUUCCUGGAAGGUUCUGUAGGUUGAGGUCUGUCCUUGGUGGGGAUGGCUGAGGGGCCUACAUGAAAUGGUCAUCCAGUCACUUCGAGGAACACCCGGGGAUGGUGCCAGCCGAGGACAUUUUGGGGGAUGAUUUUUAUACGAUGCAUCUUUUAAUAUUUAAAUAUCUGAUUUCAAAAAUUAGAAUGGGUUAGAAAACAUAGAAGGGAUUCAGGAGGAAGAGGAGUAUCGUAGAGAAGCAAUAGCAUGACUGUAAUCCUGGAAUAGCCAGGUUUGAAUUGGCUUUCUCAUAAAGGUGUUAUCACGUGGUUGAAUUUAUAUGAAUUAUCUACAUUUGUAAUGAAGUUCCAGCAUUUUUUUCAGAUUUAUAUUUUAUUCUAUAAGCAUAGCUUUAAUAAUUUAAAAAAAACCACAAUAAAU